rnacentral:rRNA from 1 species
CCUACGGGUGGCAGCAGUGAGGAAUAUUGGUCAAUGGACGCAAGGCUGAACCAGCCAUGUCGCGUGCAGGAUGACGGCUCUAUGAGUUGUAAACUUCUUUUGUACGAGGGUAAACUCCGACACGAGUACCGGGUUGAAAGUAUCGUACGAAUAAGGAUCGGCUAACUCCGUGCCAGCAGCCGCGGUAAUACGGAGGAUCCGAGCGUUAUCCGGAUUUAUUGGGUUUAAAGGGUGCGUAGGCGGAUUGUUAAGUUAGAGGUAAAAUGCCGGGGCUCAACCCCGGAAAGGCGUUUACACUGGUUGUCUAGAGAUGAGGUGCGGUAGGCGGAAUGUGCGGUGUAGCGGUGAAAUGCUUAGAGAUUGUACAGAACUCCGAUUGCGAAGGCAGCAUACCGACGGAUAUCUGACGUUGAGGCACGAAAGCGUGGGUAGCGAACAGGAUUAGAUACCCUAGUAGUC